rnacentral:rRNA from 1 species
GAUGAACGCUGGCGGCGUGCUUAACACAUGCAAGUCGAACGAAGCAAGAAGCGAAGCGCAAGCAGAGGUUCUUGACUGAGUGGCGGACGGGUGAGUAACGCGUGGAUAACCUGCCUUUCACAGGGGGAUAACAGCUGGAAACGGCUGCUAAUACCGCAUGAGCCUCUUUUGUCGCAUGAGAAGAGAGGGAAAGAGAAAUCGGUGAGAGAUGGAUCCGCGUCCGAUUAGCUAGUUGGAGGGGUAACAGCCCACCAAGGCGACGAUCGGUAGCCGACCUGAGAGGGUGGACGGCCACAUUGGGACUGAGACACGGCCCAA